GAUGAACGCUGGCGGCGUGCUUAACACAUGCAAGUCGAACGAUGAAGCCCAGCUUGCUGGGUUGAUUAGUGGCGAACGGGUGAGUAACACGUGAGUAACCUGCCCUUAACUCUGGGAUAAGCCUGGGAAACUGGGUCUCAUACCGGAUAGGAGCGUCCACCGCAUGGUGGGUGUUGGAAAGAUUUAUCGGUUUUGGAUGGACUCGCGGCCUAUCAGCUUGUUGGUGAGGUAAUGGCUCACCAAGGCGACGACGAGUAGCCGGCCUGAGAGGGUGACCGGCCACACUGCGACUGAGGCACGGCCCAGUCUCAGACAGGAGGCAGCAGUGGGGAAUAUUGCGCAAUGGGCGCAAGCCUAAUGCAGCAACGCCGCGAGAGGGAUGACGGCCGUCGGGUUGUAAACCUCUAUCAGUAGGGAAGAAGCGAAAGUGACGGUACCUGCAGAAGAAGCACCGGCUAACUACGUG
rnacentral:rRNA from 1 species